CCUACGGGAGGCAGCAGUGGGGAAUAUUGCACAAUGGGGGAAACCCUGAUGCAGCGACGCCGCGUGAGUGAAGAAGUAAUUCGUUAUGUAAAGCUCUAUCAGCAGGGAAGAAAAUGCCGGUACCUGAGUAAGAAGCCCCGGCUAACUACGUGCCAGCAGCCGCGGUAAGACGUAGGGGGCAAGCGUUAUCCGGAUGUACUGGGUGUAAAGGGAGCGUAGACGGCAGUGCAAGUCUGGAGUGAAAGGCGGGGGCUCAACCCCCGGACUGCUCUGGAAACUGUACGGCUGGAGUGCAGGAGAGGUAAGUGGAAUUCCUAGUGUAGCGGUGAAAUGCGUAGAGAUUAGGAGGAACACCAGUGGCGAAGGCGGCUUACUGGACUGUAACUGACGUUGAGGCUCGAAAGCGUGGGGAGCAAACAGGAUUAGAUACCCGAGUAGUC
rnacentral:rRNA from 1 species